GUCGAGGGGCAGCACAUGAGUAGCAAUACGAUGGUGGCGACCGGCGCACGGGUGCGUAACACGUAUGCAACCUACCUGUAAGAGGGGAAUAACCCGGAGAAAUUCGGACUAAUACCGCAUAACACUAAUAAACUGCAUGGUUUUUUAGUUAGACAUUUAUGGCUUACAGAUGGGCAUGCGUGUGAUUAGCUAGUUGGUGAGGUAACGGCUCACCAAGGCAACGAUCAUUAGGGGUUCUGAGAGGAAGGUCCCCCACACUGGUACUGAGACACGGACCAGACUCCUACGGGAGGCAGCAGUGAGGAAUAUUGGUCAAUGGGCGAGAGCCUGAACCAGCCAAGUCGCGUGAAGGAUGACUGCCCUAUGGGUUGUAAACUUCUUUUGUAAGGGAAUAAAAAAAGGUACGUGUACUUUAUUGUAUGUACUUUACGAAUAAGGAUCGGCUAACUCCGUGCCA
rnacentral:rRNA from 1 species